UACAGAGGGUGCAAGCGUUGUUCGGAAUUAUUGGGCGUAAAGCGCGUGUAGGCGGCUUGGCAAGUCAGAUGUGAAAGCCCUCGGCUUAACCGAGGAAGUGCGUCUGAAACUGCUGAGCUUGAGUGUCGGAGAGGAUGGCGGAAUUCCGCAAGUAGAGGUGAAAUUCGUAGAUAUGCGGAGGAACACCGGUGGCGAAGGCGGCCAUCUGGACGACUACUGACGCUGAGACGCGAAAGCGUGGGGAGCAAACAGGAUUAGAUACCCUGGUAGUCCACGCUGUAAACGAUGAGAACUAGGUGUCGUGGGUGUUGACCCCCGCGGUGCCGCAGCUAACGCAUUAAGUUCUCCGCCUGGGAAGUACGGCCGCAAGGCUAAA
rnacentral:rRNA from 1 species